CACGUAUGUCAUGUGUGUUACGCUUUUUUGUAUUGCCCACUAAGUUAAAUAAUAAAGAAGUGCUGUGCCCUUUGUGAUACAUUUUUUAUUACGUAUAAAGCAACAUAAAACUAGGCACCUCCCAAUAUAGCAAUACAAAAGCCUUGUGCAUGUGUGUGCAUAAGUGCACACAUGUAUGUGUGUGAAUUUCUGCAUAUGUAUGAACUUAUACACAUGCUGUUCCUAGUAACCAACAGAGAUUUUGAUUUGAUCUCUAUAUUUUUCCUCCACUCAGUGCCUAUAAGCAGGCCAAAUCACUGUAAUUGAUGUUCACAGUCUAUUUGAAUAUUUUAAGUAGCUUGUCAAAAUUAUUUGACUGGUUCUAAACUCUCUAUAGCUGCAUUUAUUUCAGUGGAGCCUUUGGGUCAUAAUUAUUUGUCAGAAUUAACAAAAUUGCACAAAUCUCAGUUUAUGUAGAUUAGCUAUUAGAUUUGGAAAUACCUCUUACAUUUGGAAAUACCUCAAAUAUCACUGUGUGUAGACAUGUUCUCUGCGUGUAUAUGCACACAAAUAUACUUGUGUUGUGUAUAGUUAACAUGCUACCCAAAAGCAUACGUUAUUUAAGCCUUGUUGGGUUUAUGUAUUAGAAUAUAGUCUUAAUUAUAAACCUAUAUGCUAUUUUCCCCGUAGGAGGCUUGCUUCAUUCAGGACAUAGGAUAGACCUGCUCUUUGGAUGAAUCUGGGUUAUAUAGUAAAGAAGACUGUUGCCUUUAUUUAUUUUAGCAAUUGGUCAGACAUUACAAGGAAAGUUCAGCUUCUCUCAUGUAACCUCAGGCUGGAGUGUGUUCAUUUGCUCUAUGGAGAUGGCCAAUGAAACCUCCAGUCACACCUAGAUAUGAGGGGAGGAAGCAUACUUAUUUUCUUUGGGUGGUCUGGAACAUGUGUAGUCCAGUGAGCACAGCAGUGCUAGAACCGUUCAAGAGAAAGGUCACAAGAUUUUUGAUUGUGAAAAAACAAACAAAUCCCAAAACCCUAGCAUUAAAAUUUCAGCCCAAACAAUUCAAAUUGGACAAUAUAUAAGAUCCCUAAACUGGGUCUUAUAUCAGAAGUACUGAGCAAACUUAAUAAUAUGCAAUAUCCUGUCAUGCACAACUGCUUAGCAUCCCCCCCCUCUCUUUUUUUAUUUUACAUAGUGGGUCUACAUACAUGGUGGAGGUCCCAUUGUUGAAAUGGAUGAGAUGGUAGCAGUUGGCUAUUGAAACCCUCCUGGAAAAGGCUUCUCUGUGUGCCCACUGACUUCAUAGAAUCAUAGAAAUUGUAGAAAAUGAGGGUUGGAAGGGAGGGUUGGAGGGCUGGGAAGUCAUCUAGUCCAACCCUCUCCUUAAAGCAGGACCACUCCCCACUAUAUUAUCCCAGUCAAGGUUCUAUCUAGCUGGGUCCUAGUAACACCCCCCCACCAGGAUAGAGAUUGCACAACCUCUCUGUGUAGCUUUACUAUUCUUCUAGUGAGAAAGUUUUUCCUAAUAUCUAACCUAAACUUCCCCUACUGCAACUUGAAAUGAUUGCUCCUUGUUCUGUCAUCUGACACCACUGAGAACAGUCUAGCCCCAUCCUCUUUGUACCCACUCUUCAAGUGUUUGUAACCACACUUCCUAGGUUUACUUUUUGUAAAUAUGUCAUACCACAUUCACAUCAGAAUUCAGUUACUUGACUACAGGGUCAAGCUGAACAUGAAAAAAUAGAGGAAGACACUAUGGGAAGAUAUAGUGAGAGAAAUUUUACCUGCAGUGGAUUAAAAGCAAUUAGCAAGAUGUUAUGGAUUUUCUGUGUUCUGUUUUCCAUUUUCUUUAAAUUUCAAAAUAGCCAAACCAUUUCUGAUCACCCUUAAGGCCAGAACCAAGGCUGAAAAAAAAUUACCUCAGAAGGUGAAUCUUUGAUGAUAAACCAAAAAAAAGAAAAAAAAGAAAAAAAAAAAAAAGAAAGCCCUCAAUGGAGAUGUUUAGGCAAGCUAUAGUAACCCCUGUAACAACAAUCUAUGGUUGUUACAAUGCCCUUCAGCUAUUACACCUCCUACAUGUAAGUCUGCCUACAUGUUGCUGUUAUAAAGGCCAUUUUUGCUUAUUGUAUAAUUUCUUAAUGUAAUUCCAUAUAAACAAAAGCUUGCAGGCACUUGUAACAGAUAUAAUUUGAGGUCUUUUUUACUCUUGCAGGCAAGCUGAACAAGUAGGAUGAGGUCACACUAAACAAGAUGAAGAUCACUUGAGAAAAAGAUUUUAAAAGUCCACAAGAUGCAAGAGCAACACAGCACCUAAGCCAGGAAGAGCUCUCCACAACAAGUACAAUGCUCAGAGCAUAAAGUUAUUCCCCUUCUAUUAUGUAUAGACAAAAAUAGACACAUAUAGUGAGUCACAGAGAGAAAGAUGGAACUUAGAAAUAACAUUUAUACUGAUUCUGUUCAGCAUUGCUGGUACAACUGCAUUACUGCUUACCCUUCUCUAAUAAUAAAUUUAAAAAAAAACCAACAUUCCUUGAACCAGUUAGAUCUGUUUUCUGAUCAUGAGCAAACUAACCUAAAGAACCAGCACAUAAAGUAAUUUGCUUCAGCAUCACUUACUGAAAAUUUACUGUUUACAUAAAAUAGGUAAUUGAUUGAUAUUUGAAGGGUUUUAGGAGAUAUAGACAGACAUUUAAAAGCAAGAUGAGUAUAUAAAACCCCUAGGCUGGUUUGAAAAUCUCUCCCUCUAGUAGCAUCAUCCACCUGGGAUGGAGUUCUUGCCCUAUUGGAUUCGGAGUACUGCUGUUGCAUGCAGUGGUCAGGAUGUCACAUGAUACUUAAGACAACUGGUUAAGUGCACAUAUAUUUAUCUGAAAAAUAUUGAACAGACUGACACUUCUGUGCUUAGGAAGAUAUCAUGUAAGAUUGGAUGGUAUCUCCCGCAUCAUUAAAUCUAGUCCUCUGCUGUGCAGAAAACCAUAUCAUAGCGGGUGCGUCAACACAUUUAUUAAUGCGCUGUACUUACUGUGCAUUAAAUUUAGUAUUUGUAUAAUGGUGUACUAAAUGAAUGUACAGUAACUGGCAUUACUGUGCAGUAGCAUUGGCGCACACCUUUUUAGUGAUAAUACUGCACAUUAGCAUAUUGGCACCAUUUGUGCUGUGACGUGCUAUUGCGCAGUAUUAGGCUGCUGUGCAGUUAACGUCUCAUGUAGACAUGCCCAAUAUAAUCUCAUUCAUAAAUGUUUUAUGCUCCACCUUGAGGUUAGUUGGAGUUUUGUAGUGGGUGCUUCUACGCAUGCUGUUAGUGCGAAGAAAUAAACUCCUAGCUGAUCCCAAGGAGCAGCAUUUACACGUGCAUCCAGGACCGCAGCACUUUGAGCUGAGGCAGAGCAGCCCUAGGCUGUCAAGGGACCCUGGGAGUCAACCCCAGGCUCCAGGUGGUAGCAUCAGGGGAUGGAGGGGUUGGCUGGGGCACAAGGGUGCUACAGUGAGGGCCUAGGCAGCAGGCAGCCUCACAGUUUGGAACCCUCCUGCCCAAGCCAGUCCCUCUCACCAUCUACAUGUGCGUUUCAGCGAAGUAAAUUACUCCACCAUAGGUUAGCACCAUCCCUGACAGUACUGUUCUAUGGCAGAGUUAAUUAAUCUACUGCUCCCUAAUACUGAUGCACCUGUAGACUAUGAUGCUUUACUGCAGAGCAAAUUAGUCAACUCCUCAGUAAAGCGCACAUGUAGAUGCACCCACUAACUCCUAAUGACAGACUGUUCCACAGCCUCACUUCUCUAAUGGCUAGAAAUCUGCUUCUGAUUUCUAUGCUAAUAUUUUAAAGGGCCAGUUCAUACUUUUGAAGACCAGAUCAUCGCCUCAUACAAGCAUAGGUGGUGCCCUUCAAGAUAUUUGGAACUGCUAUGGUCCGGAAUAGAUGGUGACUUAGCUACCUCCAUCUUGGCUCAUGAUGAUGUAUCUGUGUCAGAAAAGGUACACUGUGAUAGACCCAGCACAAUUUAAUGCUGCUUCAGAGUAAUAUAGACAGAGAGGGAGACUGUGGGUCCCAGGCUACUACAUGACAUGCUGCUUUCUCAGAACAGAUCUUAUUAUCACAAUCUAGCUCUAUCCUGUUAUUACAGAGUGAGUGAAUGAGCUAUAGAGAUAAAGAGAUCUAAAAUAUCUGGUUUCUCAUCAGCGUCCACUAAAAACCGUAUAGUGGUAACCAUUACGAAAGCAGCUUUUCUCCUCAGUGACCAAAGCAGAGUAACAACAGCACUAUAGCCAUUAUUUCCUGGGUUAGGCAAUGUUAAUGUAUCCCAGAAAUUAUGAUAUGAUAGUUGUAGGUAAAUGCUAAUAUUUUAACAGGUCAUGCAGCAGUUGCCAACAGAGACUAAAGCACUGUUUUUUUUAUAUUAUUCAGAAGUCCUUAAAUGCACGAGAGAGGUCCAGUCAUUUGUAGGAUGAAAUGCAUUGGGAAGAAAGUUCACUUUGGGAUAGGAUUAUUUUAAGGGACCAAGUAGGCAGAAGGUUCUGAUUCUUUUCUUUUUCCAUUUUGAAAUUAAAAAAAAAAUUCAUUUUGAAAACAUCCCUGUGACUAAGCUGAACCAGCAAAACUGCAGUGGAAAAAUAAUAUUGAACCCCAAUUGAUAAAUAUACCUGUCUCCUUCUGAUAAUUAGCGAUACCUUUGUGUCCAUAGAGCUGACUCGGCUCAUCUAAGGAUCACAGCCUCAAGUUCUCUAAGUAGCCUUUGGUGGUCUUCCAAUCCCAUCAGUUCCAGAAACUGAAUUUGUUUGACACAGGGCUUGUCUUCAUUUUCCCUUGACUGCCUCCCGCUACUGUCAGUUUAGUAUAGGCAGGCUUGUGAUAAUGGAUGCAUUUCACAACUACACGUGUACAUAAAGCAGGUAUUGCAUAACUAGUAUGAAUAUCCCUGCCACACGAGACUCCCCCUGGUGUCUGAGUUAACCCUGCAGUUAUCUGAGAUUUUUGUACGGAAAAUCCUCAAAAAAUUGCAACCCAUAUUAGAAAAAGACCCUAUUCUUAAAAAAAUCUUCCCAGAGCCACCCAUCCUAGCCUUCAGACAAGCACUGAACCUCGCCAACCUCAUCACCAGAAGCAAACUUCCUCAGCCCCAGAACACAUCAAAAGGAUCCAGACCGUGCCGUGACAAGAAAUGCAAAACCUGCCCCCACAUCUCCACCACCUCCACUAUUACUACACCCCACAACAGAGCCAUCAGCAUCCCAGGAUCUUACAGCUGCACCUCCAGGAAUGUAGUAUACCUCAUCCAAUGCACCAAAUGCCCUGAUGGAAGAUAUGUAGGAGAGACCAGACAACAACUGCGCACCAGAAUGAAUGCACACCGGAAAUCCAUCAAAGACAGAAAUACCCAAUUACCGGUGGGGGCACAUUUCUCACAGGAGGGCCACUCUCUCUCCAAUCUCUCAGUCCUGAUCCUCAAGGGAAAUUUACACAACACAUCCCAGAGACGGGCCUAUGAGCUCCAUUUCAUCAACCUGCUGGAUACUAGAGAUCAGGGACUAAACAUAGACAUUGGAUUUUUGAUACAUUACAAUCUGCCUGGCAACUGACUCCCCAGCCCAGCCCCUGGCUUCUUUACUUUUCAUUCCAUCCAGGAAGAGCACGCAGCAACUGCUGCAGCGUCUUUAGCCUGACAAAGGGUUUUUGAACCCGAAAGCUUGCUUAAUAACUAUUCUCCAACCAUUUGGGUUGGUCUAAUAAAAGAUAUCAAAUUCACCCAAGGAACCUUGUCUGCCUAUGUCCUAAAAUUAUGUUUUCUUGAAAAAUGUGUGCUGUAAAAGAAAGAAGUGAUGCCAGAUUGACAGUUCCAAAAUAGUAGCCAUCCAGUUGUCCACAGAACAGAUAAAAGUAUUGGCUGUGGUACUGCAUUUGUCUCCAUAGCUGGUAUGUAGGAAAAGGAACAGAGACCUUUAUUUUCUUGGGGAAAAUCCCAUUUUCUGACUACAUCUAACGAGAUCUAGUCAGAAAAUGGGACUUUUCCAAAUAAUUUUUUGCCAAAAAAAAACAAAAAAAGAAAAAUCUUAAAAAAUUGACUUCACCCUGCUUGUGAAGGGAGGCAGCUGUAUAAUUAAGAGUUCAUGGUCACAAAAGUUUCAACAAGAAGUGUUGUCUGGCUGGGAAGCCUAAUCUAUUAAGCAAAAUGGGGAAUUGUGGAAACUGAACUACAACUUCCAUGAGACACUAUGGCAAAAUAUCCAAAUCUAAAUAUUUUUACGAAGGAAACUUUGGGGUUUUUUCAGUAGAAAGAAGGUAUUUUUUAUGAUAAAUUUUGUUUAGUCUGAAAUCCAAUUUUCUGUGGAAAAUUGUUUUGAUAGAAAAUUAUUAACCGUUCCUAUCAGUCAGUCCUAUAACUCAAGUCCCCAGAUCACCAUCAGAUAGUAGCUAUUAAUAGUCGGUACCAGUUUUGAAUUGGUUGCUGGUGAUGAAUGUAUUGUUAUUCCCUGAUCUGUCUAAUCGGGUAUAAAAUAGUAUGGUAAUUAAUUAGAUAUUUGAUUAUACUUCGGGCAUUUAGAAGCUCAAAUGUUUGGAGGGAAAGGGCAUAUUUGAAAUUCUAUAACCACUUUUACUAUUUUCCUAAAUAUAGAAUGGUGAUUCCAUUCUUGCCACUGAAUUAUUUUGCUAAACAAAAAAAAUGAUAUUUGAAGCAAACAUUUAAAAUAGAGAAGGAUGCCAAGUGUAAAAAAUGUGCAGAAAGGUGUUAUGUCUACACACAGAGCCAAUCCACAAAACGGGUAGUCACUAAAGGAGCCAAGAUAAACAAGACUAUGUUGAAGCUAACUUAGUCCCCCAGAACCAUCAUGAGUGCAUUUAUAUAUUAUUGGAGCCAAGUGAACUUUAACUGUGUCUUAUUUAACUUGGCCAUUUACAUGGCUAACCGUUUUUGUAGGUUGGCUCUGUUUGUAGCUAUCACACCUUUUGAUUGCUGACCUUUUCUUGUCUAACUCUGGAUUUUUAAUCUAUAUUAAAUAUUUUUAUCUUGUUUAAUUUCCUUGAUGUUUUUUCUUACUGUAGUAAAUAUUACAGAAACUAUUUUAUGAUAGAAGGCACAUUUUUUUAUUAGAAAAUUCCUUAGCUUCUCAAGGCCAAUAGCUUAGACAUCUAUAUAACCGGUAACACCUGACUUUUUCCAUAGGAUGUUGGUGAAGGAAAAGCUUUUAUUGAAAUAAAGGUUCACAUGUUUCAUUGAAAGAUCUUGUAGAGAUGCAAGUUCACUGCAGUCUUCAUCAAAAGCUUAUUUAAAAGCAUCACCUCUGAGGCAUUUUGGACACAGUGAAAGGAAACAGCUGGGCAAGUCCAGAGCUUUCAAUUCAAGAGAGAACUGCUCUCCAGACCUGGCAUUUUUCACUGCACUCGAUUCUGUCCUGACUGGAGUCUUAAAAUAGUGUGGCAUACAUUUUAUUAUAAACAUAAUAAAGCCAUUUUCUAAAACUGCAGUGCUCAGUUAAAGUUUUAUCUCAAGCUACAUAAUAUAAAUUAUUUUCAGUAACAAAAUUAAUCUAAUAGGGUAUUUAUCUUAUGGAGAACAUACAUAUUCUGAUCUGAAAUAAUGAGUUACUGAUAUACCUUUGCCCACAAUAAUGGUUGUUACCCUUAACUCUCUCUCUCUCUCUCAUUUUAACUUCUGGUUAUAUUUAUUACUUAUUCUGAACUGAGCUAAGUUCCAGAAGGUUAAUAUAUCUUAGGAUAUUGUGCCUAACAUAGAUAAAGUAACAGGACAGUAUAGGUAUGUGAGAGAGAUGGAAGAUUUUACUAAGAAAUAAAAAAUAAAUACAUACAGUAAAGAGUUACACCAAAGACUGUAGUAAUUAGUUUAGUAUUUUUUAUGAUACAAGAGCUAUCAUAAUCCUACAGGGUGGUAGGUAUGCCCUGGUAAACAUUAAACAGAUACCUUCUGAUGCCAUAAAUAUAUUUAGACAAAAAAAUCUACCAAGACUCCACCUGCAGACAGCUGUCUCAGACAAUGACUUUCUAGUGACACCGUCCAAAAUUAUUCAUUUGUCAAAUGGAAAGUUGAGAGUUAUUUGUGACUUUUUGGAAUCAUCAAGCUGUCCAAAAAGUCGUUCGUUUUCUCUCAAACUAUCCAAAAUCAAAGCAGUUAAAUGAGCAUGUUAACUGCUAAAAUAUGCAUUGUCCAGCUUUCUCCUCUACUACUCACUUAGAACCAGAUCAUGCAAAGCUUAUUCAUGCUAGCAAGCAAUUACACAUGCAAGAAGUGCCACUGAAGACAAAUGAUUCCUGCAUCAAUGACAUUAUUGCUGUGUACAGGAGCUGAACAGUCAGGAUCUUCUGCUCCACCAGAGACAAUCUUAACAAGCAACUCCCCCUCUGCAUUAAAUGAAAGAGGACUGGUCUGUAUUUCUGGCACUUGAACUGAUGUGAGCAUCAAAAGCUUUGGGGACUGAGAUGAAUUUGGUUUCUCUUACAAGUCACUCUGGGUUUCCACCGCCAUGACAGAGGAAGGAAUGUGGGCAUUUUGGCCUUGUUCUUUAGAGUAAUGGAUGCUGGCAUUUUAAAAUCAAGUUGAAGAAGGAACCCAAGGGAAAACCAUCAGUGAACUGUCUACCUCCAAAAUGGGUAAUUCUUAUUGUCCAUCAGGAGUACCUACUUAGGGUUGGUCCUGUAAGGUACUGAGCCCUCUGGCUCCGAUCCUGUAUAGCACAUAAGCAUGUGCUUAAAUUAGGCAUAUGCACAGUGCAAAUUAAGUCAAUAGGGUCAAUUCAUGUGUUUAAGUGUUGUAUUAUAGUACAGUCAGAAUGCUUAGAACCCGAAAGAAUUGAAGCUCAAGAAGAUCUGGAUUGCAGCUUGUUAGGCAAAGCCUCCUGCAGGCAGCCUAUGAGAGGGAUUGUGCUUCCAGCAGACAGGGCAGCUCCAUGCAUCAGGGGUGGGAGCGAGGUACUGGGUUGCAGAGGAUAUCGGAGCCAAGAGAGCCUCGCCCAAUCCUGUCCUUUUUUUGACGUCCUGCUCUCCGAGAUGGUGGGGCACAGGUGAAGCCGGCGUGAGUUGUCUGUGUUCUCAUUCCACAGAGGACAAGCGGACCAUGCUUUGCAAUUGUGAAAAGCCCUUGUGCAGCUAUGCAAAGAAGGGCUGCCUGCCUGUAUGCCCCACCACCAUGGCAUGGCAGAGCAAAGGCCUCUGACAAUCUGGCUUGUAAUGUAUUGAAAAGGCAAUGCCAAUGACUCAUUUUACAACCAAGUUAUCAUUUAUCCUACUAGCAAAAUCUGUUCAACCCUGGUUAUAUAGGUUAUACAGUAAUAAAAGAUCAAGUAUCCAUAAAAUUGCCGUUGAACUGUAAAUUAAUGUGAGGUAAAGCUGUUGCCCAAGGGAAUAACCAAGCUUCAGAAAGGUGUGUCCUAAAUUAAUUAGUACUGAGUUCAUCACUGACUGAGAAAAGAAUAAGUCUAUAUCAGCCUUUGACUGUGGAGCUCAGAGGUUUAUUUUCAAAGACCAGUUGCUGCUUUCAUUUGCUUUGCUUUUAAACAAGGCUUUGUUAAAUAAAACCUAUAAAAUUCAUGAA